CGCCCCAAAUUUUUGUACAGUAUCAUUUAAAUUCUGCUUGAUUUUGAUACUGCUGUCUUAAAACCAGAAUUUAUUUAAUAGAAGACAGGUCCAACUAAUUAGUAAAAUCUAAUAAAUUUAAAGCUCACUAAAGCUACGCACAUAGGAUUUUAAUUAAAAAGAUGGGCUUACAGAUCCACCACGACCGCUACGGUAACCAAUACUACACCAACGCCGACGACUACAACGACCUCUAUUUCAAUUACGGCCUCAAAGGGAUGCAUUAUUUUUACGAACCGAACCGAACCAGAUGGUAUUAUCACUGUUACUGGCCCCAGGAAGCCCUAAAUUUCUCCACGGUGGAAGAUAAGCUACGACGAGUCGCGCUGAGAAAUCGAGUUAGAGACGCCACCUUCAUCAGGAAGAAGACUUAUUAAUUAAAGAGGUGUUUUAUCUUUAAUGAAGACUGAUUUGAUUUUGGUCGUUCUAGUUUUUAAGAAAAAUAAAUAUUUUGCUAAAUA